rnacentral:rRNA from 1 species
AGAUCAUCAUUGGGCUUAAAGUGUGCGCAGGCGGUUUGGCAAGUCAGAUGUGAAAUCCCCGAGCUCAACUUGGGAACUGCGUUUGAAACUGCCAGACUAGAAUAUGUCAGAGGGGGGUAGAAUUCCACGUGUAGCAGUGAAAUGCGUAGAGAUGUGGAGGAAUACCAAUGGCGAAGGCAGCCCCCUGGGAUAAUAUUGACGCUCAUGCACGAAAGCGUGGGGAGCAAACAGGAUUAGAUACCCUGGUAGUCCACGCCCUAAACGAUGUCUACUAGUUGUUGGUGGAGUAAAAUCCAUGAGUAACGCAGCUAACGCGUGAAGUAGACCGCCUGGGGAGUACGGCCGCAAGGUUGAAACUUAAAAAAUUAGACGG